rnacentral:rRNA from 1 species
AUAUCAUUAAGCGGAGGAAAUGAAACUAACUAGGAUUCCCUUAGUAGCGGCGAGCGAAGGGGGAAAAGUUCACGACGGUAAUCGCAAGUUUUUGCGAGUUGUGUUCGGAAAGGUAACCAGCGUAAUGUUAAAGGAAAAUUACUUGGAAUAGAGUACCAUAGAGGGUGACAGUCCUGUUGAUCCUUUGAAUAUUGUGCAUUCGGUGCCUUUUUAUUGAGUCUGUUCCUUGGGAGUGGAGCACAAAAUGGGUGGUAGUUUUCAUCCAUAACUAAAUAUUGGUGGGAGACCGAUAGCGCACAAGUA